rnacentral:rRNA from 1 species
UAGAGUUUGAUCAUGGCUCAGGAUGAACGCUAGCGACAGGCUUAACACAUGCAAGUCGAGGGGCAGCGGGGAGGUAGCAAUACUUCCGCCGGCGACCGGCGCACGGGUGAGUAACACGUAUGGAACCUGCCCGUAGCAGGGGGAUAAACGGAAGAAAUUCCGUCUAAUACCGCGUAAUAACUCCGAGAGGCAUCUCAUGGAGUUUAAAGGGUAACACCGGCUACGGAUGGCCAUGCGGCGCAUUAGCUAGUUGGCGGGGUAACGGCCCACCAAGGCGACGAUGCGUAGGGGUUCUGAGAGGAAGGUCCCCCACACUGGUACUGAGACACGGACCAGACUCCUACGGGAGGCAGCAGUGAGGAAUAUUGGUCAAUGGGCGCGAGCCUGAACCAGCCAAGUCGCGUGAGGGAAGACGGUCCUAUGGAUUGUAAACCUCUUUUGUCGGGGAGCAAAAGACGCCACGUGUGGCGUUCCGAGAGUACCCGAAGAAAAAGCAUCGGCUAACUCCGUGCCAGCAGCCGCGGUAAUACGGAGGAUGCGAGCGUUAUCCGGAUUUAUUGGGUUUAAAGGGUGCGCAGGCGGAAGAUCAAGUCAGCGGUAAAAUUGAGAGGCUCAACCUCUUCGAGCCGUUGAAACUGGUUUUCUUGAGUGAGCGAGAAGUAUGCGGAAUGCGUGGUGUAGCGGUGAAAUGCAUAGAUAUCACGCAGAACUCCGAUUGCGAAGGCAGCAUACCGGCGCUCAACUGACGCUCAUGCACGAAAGUGUGGGUAUCGAACAGGAUUAGAUACCCUGGUAGUCCACACAGUAAACGAUGAAUACUAAUUGUUCGGGGAGAAUGAUCCCUGAGUGAUACAGCGAAAGCGUUAAGUAUUCCACCUGGGGAGUACGCCGGCAACGGUGAAACUCAAAGGAAUUGACGGGGGCCCGCACAAGCGGAGGAACAUGUGGUUUAAUUCGAUGAUACACGAGGAACCUUACCCGGGCUCAAACGACACAGGAAUACUUUUGAAAGGAGGUAGCUCUACGGAGUCUGUGUCGAGGUGCUGCAUGGUUGUCGUCAGCUCGUGCCGUGAGGUGUCGGCUUAAGUGCCAUAACGAGCGCAACCCCCAUCGCCAGUUACCAGCAAGUCAAGUUGGGGACUCUGGCGAGACUGCCGGCGCAAGCUGUGAGGAAGGCGGGGAUGACGUCAAAUCAGCACGGCCCUUACGUCCGGGGCGACACACGUGUUACAAUGGCAGGUACAGAGAGAAGCAAUGCGGCGACGCAAAGCGGAACUUGAAAGCCUGUCUCAGUUCGGAUUGGAGUCUGCAACUCGACUCCAUGAAGCUGGAUUCGCUAGUAAUCGCGCAUCAGCCAUGGCGCGGUGAAUACGUUCCCGGGCCUUGUACACACCGCCCGUCAAGCCAUGGAAGCCGGGAGUGCCUGAAGUGUGCAACCGCAAGGAGCGCCCUAAGGUAAAACUGGUGACUGGGGCUAAGUCGUAACAAGGUAACCGUA